UGGGGCUAACUGCAGGUUUCUGACAUACCUGGGGAUGUCAUAGGGGCUCAGUGUUUUUUUCUCUUUCUUUUGUCCUUCACUUGGCUCUCCCUCAAUUAAUGCCGGCUACCCAGAAAGCUAAGGUAUCACUUCCUUUGUAUAUGUGUAUGUCUAUUCCACCUGCUAUCUUCCUUUUCUUGUGUCUUUUCCUUUUACAACUUUACUUUGUCUUCACUCUUCACUCACCCUCCUCCUGCAAUUUUUUUUCCCCUUUUGCCAUGUGACUGGCAAAUGGCAAUAGCAUCUUCUAACUUGUUCUUGUUCUUCU
rnacentral:lncRNA from 1 species